rnacentral:rRNA from 1 species
UACGUAGGGGGCAAGCGUUGUCCGGAAUCAUUGGGCGUAAAGAGCGCGUAGGCGGCCCGGUAAGUCCGCUCUGAAAGUCAGAGGCUCAACCUCUGAAUGCGGGUGGAUACUGCCGGGCUAGAGUCCGGAAGAGGCGAGUGGAAUUCCUGGUGUAGCGGUGAAAUGCGCAGAUAUCAGGAGGAACACCGGUGGCGAAGGCGGAUCUCUGGGCCUUGCCUGACGCUGAGGCGCGAAAGCUAGGGGAGCGAACAGG